rnacentral:piRNA from 1 species
GGGUCACCACCGUGCACUGUGUGGC